UACGAAGGGGGCUAGCGUUGCUCGGAAUGACUGGGCGUAAAGGGCGCGUAGGCGGUUUGUACAGUCAGGUGUGAAAUUCCCGGGCUCAACCUGGGGGCUGCACUUGAUACGUAGGAACUGGAGUGGGGAAGAGGGUCGUGGAAUUCCCAGUGUAGAGGUGAAAUUCGUAGAUAUUGGGAAGAACACCGGUGGGGAAGGCGGCGACCUGGUCCUUGACUGACGCUGAGGCGCGAAAGCGUGGGGAGCAAACAGG
rnacentral:rRNA from 1 species